CCUACGGGUGGCAGCAGUGGGGAAUAUUGCACAAUGGGGGAAACCCUGAUGCAGCGAUGCCGCGUGGAGGAAGAAGGUUUUCGGAUUGUAAACUCCUUUUAUCAGGGACGAUAUUGAUGUUACCUGUAGAAAAAUCUCUGGCUAACUCCGUGCCAGCAGCCGCGGUACUACGUAGGGAGCGAGCGUUAUCCGGAAGUACUGGGUGUAAAGGGGGCGUAGGCGGGUCGGCAAGUCAGAUGUGAAAACUGCGGGCUCAACCUUCAGACUGCAUUUGAAACUGCUGGUCUAGAGUGAAGUCGAGGGAAGCAGAAUUACUAGUGUAGCGGUGAAAUGCGUAGAGAUUAGGAGGAACAUCGGUGGCGAAGGCGGCUUACUGGUCUUUGACUGACGCUGAGGCUCGAAAGCGUGGGGAGCAAACAGGAUUAGAUACCCCUGUAGUC
rnacentral:rRNA from 1 species